rnacentral:rRNA from 1 species
AUUGAACGCUGGCGGCAUGCUUUACACAUGCAAGUCGAACGGCAGCGCGGGCUUCGGCCUGGCGGCGAGUGGCGAACGGGUGAGUAAUACAUCGGAACGUGCCCAGUAGUGGGGGAUAGCUCGGCGAAAGCCGGAUUAAUACCGCAUACGACCUGAGGGUGAAAGCGGGGGAUCUUCGGACCUCGCGCUAUUGGAGCGGCCGAUGGCAGAUUAGCUAGUUGGUGGGGUAAAGGCCUACCAAGGCGACGAUCUGUAGCUGGUCUGAGAGGACGACCAGCCAAACCGGGACUGAAGCAAGGGCCAGACUCCUACGGGAGGCAGCAGUGGGGAAUUUUGGACAAUCGGCGAAAGCCUGAUCCAGCAAUGCCGCGUGUGUGAUGAAGGCCUUCGGGUUGUAAAGCACUUUUGGCGGGAACGAAAAGGACUGUGCCAAUACCACGGUUCGAUGACGGUACCCGCAGAAUAAGCACCGGCUAACUACGUG